rnacentral:lncRNA from 1 species
AUGCAGCCAAUCCUCCGAGCCCUAGCCCUAUGAUAACCCCUUUGGAGCUCCUCAUUCGAUUCAGCUGGUUAAGUGCUGGCUGGAGGAUGUUGAAGAGGACCCAAGCGAUCGCUGGGAUUAUGGGAAGCAAUAGAGCUAGCCCACGGUUGUCUCCUUCAGCUAUUUCAGCAAUCUGUUGUGCAGCUAAGGCGGGGUCACAUGAACUUAAGGUUGAGAAGAUAGCUCCAGCAAUGGCGCUGCCAGCGAGUGAAGAAGGUAGGUUUGAGUUGUUGGCUGGUUUUGAGAUGGUGAGGCCUUUGGGGAGGUUCUGCAUGGAGAGAAGGGAGAAGGGCUUUGGGGUUGGCUUUGUUGGGCUGCUCAUCUUAGUUGAGCUGAUGCUUAGGCAUUUUUGCAUUGAGCAUCGCCAUUGUUGCUACACUUGCUGCCAUUUUUUUAUGUUUUUGGGUUUAGAAUUGUGCU